CACAGCCUCACCACCACUUGAUCAACGCCAGCCAGUUCAUUACCAAAUUCAUCACCAUGGAAAGAGUGGUGGUGGCGGUGGUGUGGGCGUUAACUCUACUUCUGUGUCUUGAAUAUGGCACAGGUGACGAGAUACUGGUGGUGGGCCCGGGCGUGGUGGAGGCUUCAGCUCGGCAGUUCAUCGAGGAUCAGGAGACGGAGCUGGCGAGGCAGUGUAGGAGAACGAUGCUUGCCGCGUGGACCUACGAAACCAACAUCACCAUGCUGCACAAGUCCCAAAUGGUCAGCGAGCAGGAGAGCUUCAAGAGACUGCAGGAGGGCGCUCGGCAGCAGGCUAGCAGGUGGCAAGCUAUGGACCACCUGAUUAGCGACGAGCAGUUGAAGCAGAAGAUCAAGGCGUUAAGCUUCUUGGGCCUCGCUGAACUCCCCUCGCCAUCCAUGACCUCCUACCAACGCGUGUUAAGUGACAUGACGCACAUUUACUCAAGCUCCACCAUCUGUACCCUUCGUCGACCCUACCGCUGCGGCCUCACUCCACAUAAAGGUAUUAAGAGGGUCGUUAUAUAUGUCUGUCUGUCUGUCUCUCUUUCUCUCUGUCAUUGUUUUGUUUUCUGGGUUGUUUUUUGUUCUGUUUUUUGUUUG